AUUGAACGCUGGCGGCAGGCCUAACACAUGCAAGUCGAACGAGUGGCGGACGGGUGAGUAAUGACUGGGAAACUGCCUGAUGGAGGGGGUUAACUAAUGGAAACGGUAGCUACUACCGCAUACCAUCAGAUGUGCCGAGAUGGGAAUUGCUUGUGGGUGGGGUAACGGCUCACCAAGGCGACGACCCCUACUUGGUCUGAGAGGAUGACCAGCCACACUGGAACUGAGACACGGUCCAGACUCCUACGGGAGGCAGCAGUGGGGAAUAUUGCACAAUGGGCGCAAGCCUGAUGCAGCCAUGCCGCGUGUAUGAAGAAGGCCUUCGGGUUGUAAAGUACUUUCAGCGGGGAGGCGUUACCCGCAGAAGAAGCACCGGCUAACUCCGUGCCAGCAGCCGCGGUAAUAC
rnacentral:rRNA from 1 species